rnacentral:lncRNA from 1 species
GAUUAUAAGAAAAUGCCAACUUCAAUCUCUCAGCAACUCAUACAUAAAACAAACUCGUAAAACAUUACUGUCUUUAAAGAAAUACAUAAAUUGAUACACUUCCUUGAACUUAUAAAUCUCAAACAACAGAGCAAAUAUAUAAACAAUUACACAUAUACCAUGCAUCCUAAGGAGGUCAACAUGAUGUCCUGAUGAUGCUUGCUGUUCUACUCAUGCUUGUCUCCUCCUUUGCUUUUCAUACUAUGACCUGCACCAGGGCUGUGGCCGGGUGUCGUGGGGGCACUUUCUGUUGUCACCAUAGGUACACGAUCAUCAUGACCUUCAAUGGUAUGUGAGACCAAGCUGGUUGUCGUUCCUUCCAUAUGCUUAUCACCUCCUGCAGGGCAUUCUCUACAUCCCUGGGUUUUAAAGUUCUCUGCCAUCAGAUGCCUUCCCUCUGAUGAAGGACAUUCAUUAGCAAGAAUUAGCACAAUAACAAGGGCGCAAGCACAGAAAUGCUUCUUCCCUGCCAUGAGAGAGAGAGAGAGAGAGAGAGA